UACGGUGACAUCACGUUGAAACACCGGUUCCCGUACGAUGCCCGAAGUUAAGCAACGUCGAGCCUGGUCAGUACCGAGAUGGGUGACUGCUUGGGAAUACCAUGUUCUGUAAG